rnacentral:rRNA from 1 species
AUGGGUGCAGAUAGGAGUGACUGUUUCAGGCAUUUUUAUGACAGAAUAAAAGAAAAACUGAAGGGAUGGAUGGAGAAACAGUUGUCUACUGGAGCGAAAGAGAUAUUACUUAAAUCUGUAGCCCAAGCCAUCCCAGUCUUUGCGAUGUCUGUUUUCAGCCUGCCCAAGGGCCUAUGCAAGGAGAUAACUGAUUUGAUAGCACAAUUUUGGUGGGGGGAUGAUGAGGAACACAAAAGAAUGCACUGGUAUACAUGGUGGAAGCUUUGUUACCCAAAAAGUGAGGGGGGUAUGGGGUUCCGAGAUCUCUAUGCUUUUAAUCUUGCCAUGCUCUCAAAGCAAGUUUGGCGGUUGAUCACUAACCCGGAUUCCCUGUGUGCAAGAGUAUUGAAAGCAAAAUACUUCCCUAAUGAAAGUUUAUUACAAGCUACCCUGAAGAGUGGUGCUUCGUUUACGUGA